rnacentral:rRNA from 1 species
UACAGAGGUCUCAACCGUUGUUCGGAUUCAUUGGGCGUAAAGGGUGCGUAGGCGGCGGGGUAAGUCAGGUGUGAAAUCUCGGGGCUCAACCCCGAAACUGCACUUGAUACUGCCUCGCUUGAGUACUGGAGAGGAGACUGGAAUUUACGGUGUAGCAGUGAAAUGCGUAGAUAUCGUAAGGAAGACCAGUGGCGAAGGCGAGUCUCUGGACAGUUCCUGACACUGAGGCACGAAGGCCAGGGGAGCAAACGGG